rnacentral:miRNA from 1 species
CCUUCGUCUACGGCGGCUGCAACGGCAACCUCAACCGCUUCCAGACCCUCGACGAAUGCG